UCACCAUUCCCUGCGCGCCUCAUCCUUCAAAAGGCUACAAGCAACACGAACUAAGGGCAAGAUUUAUCGCAGUCGUCCAAAGAUGAUUCUCGAAAUCAGUUUUAUAAAUUCGUAUUUAAACAUUUCACUCAAAGUUUAUGAUAGGCUUUAUUUGCUUUCCUGGCUUUCAGAAAACCACCUACAGCUUUCCCUUCCAAAACCUGACUAAUGACGGGAAACACCAUGUUAGUGUUUCCGCAUUUGACAGCAGUGGGUGUGAACUAUCACCUAGAGAGUGGCAAGAAUUUUAUGCUCGUAUUAUCCCGACCACCGUCCCGAUCACAGUCCCGACGACUGUCCCGACUACGGUCCCGACGACUGUCCCGACCGUGCUGAGUGCCACAGGAAGAGGUAUGUAUUUUUAUAUUUCGUGAAAAAAUGACGUAAAAAUCUGGUGAAAAAAAUUCUUAUGACUUGAAUGACGGAACGAAGUGAGCCACUAACUUGUAAAGGGAAAGUGCAUGCUCCACUUUGAUUUUCUCCGAAGCUUUCGUCUCCACUAUGGAGUUCCCACAGCCUGGUGCCCAAGCUUGCGCGUUUUCUACCCUCUUACUCGUACUGUUGCCAAGGCCAUAUACAGGCAUUUCUCUGUAAGAGCAAGUCAAACUUCA